rnacentral:rRNA from 1 species
UCUACGGGUGGCUGCAGUGAGGAAUAUUGGUCAAUGGACGCAAGUCUGAACCAGCCAUGCCGCGUGCAGGAAGACGGCUCUAUGAGUUGUAAACUGCUUUUGUACGAGGGUAAAUCCCGAUACGUGUAUCGGGUUGAAAGUAUCGUACGAAUAAGGAUCGGCUAACUCCGUGCCAGCAGCCGCGGUAACACGGAGGAUUCAAGCGUUAUCCGGAUUUAUUGGGUUUAAAGGGUGCGUAGGCGGUCGGAUAAGUUAGAGGUGAAAUCCCGAGGCUCAACUUCGGAAUUGCCUCUGAUACUGUUCGGCUAGAGAGUAGUUGCGGUAGGCGGAAUGUAUGGUGUAGCGGGGAAAUGCUUAGAGAUCAUACAGAACACCGAUUGCGAAGGCAGCUUACCAAGCUACUUCUGACGUUGAGGCACGAAAGCGUGGGGAGCAAACAGGAUUAGAUACCCUGGUAGUC